CUAUAAUCGCGUAAGCGGUGUCUACGCCAAUUAAGAAGAAGAAGAGUUAUGUUAUUAUGACUCACAAACGAUAGCAAAUCUUCCACUUUUGUGGGAUGAUGCCUUUCUCUCUUGCCAUAUCCUAAAAUUAUCCACCGUCGUUUUAAGAUUCCAAUGCUUUGUUCAACGAUACAUCUACAAAGAACAUUUUGUUAACCUUCCUAUACCCGCGCACAUGUCUGUAAGACCGACGAAACACUUUUAGCUCGCGCGUUCUGCUAGCUGCAUGAUUUGCGGCUCGCUUUAGGUUAGUACGUGGCACGCAGUAGUGCGAGCAGGAAUUGUAGGGCUUACUACGGUCUGAUCGGUUUGUGACACCGACGCGUGUAUGCGAUCAACUUUUUACAUGUAUCGUUGAACAAAUCAUUGGAAUCUUAAAAAGACGGUGGAGAAUUUUAGGAUACGGCAAGAGAGAAAGGUAUCACCACGGUAGAGGAGGAGUAAGGUCACUAUCAGCUGAUGUUAUGUAAACAAAGGCACAGCUGAGAGGUGCCACUGUAGAAACACAAGUGUAGUCCGGGGUUGAGUUUCUAUUGGAAUCCAAGAUGGCCGACUUUUAACCAAGAUGGCUGACUUUUAACCGGAAAAUGGUUGCAUUGCGUUAUUUUCUUAAAAUUUAUGGAAAAGUUGUCCCAAAAAUAUUGGUUAUAUAUAAAAGUUUAAUAUAUUUUCUAAAGAAAAUCGUUUUAUUUUAAUAUAUAUUCUUAAAGAUGAGAACAAUAUGAGCAAAUACGUGAAAAAUUAAGUUUUUUAUUUAUGCCUCUUUUUAACUUACCACAGUAAUAAAUGUUCACCACAGAAAAAUGUUACGAACAAAUAAGCAACCAUGCCGAAUAGUGGGGUCCAGAUUAUGCUCAUUCACAGCCAUAUUUACAUUUUUGCAUCGUAACGAAGGUUUUUGCAAGACAAUUUGUUUGAGUUUAUUUCAUGGUUAAAUGAUUUACGAUGGUUUAUUUAGUUAUUUGAAUCUGGAAGAAGUGUGCAAAUUUCCCUUGAGACAAUCAAUAACAGAUCGAGUUGGGAUUUUAUUCCAAUAAAAAUACGGAAUAACUAAACAUGGCCUCGUUAAUAUUGCUGCGUAAUGGGUCAGGCGCUGUUCCAAUUUUAUGAUUUAAUAGAUUAAAAAGCGAUACGCGAUGCUGUGAAGUACUCAAAUGUAGUUCUCAAAUUUGUUGGUCGUGAAUUCGAGACAAAAUUUUAAGCUCAAUGACGUGCUCGUGGAAGGUGCACGUCGCAUUGCUAGAAUCAGCAAAGGAGCUGGUGUAGAACGCUAGUCCCAAACCAAUGAGCUUUGUGCUUGGUGGAAGCAACUUUUUGAGGAGCAAAUACUACGGUGAGCACAUUCGGAUGUUGCACAAGCUAUUGUCAAUUGCGCUAAGGAUCUCGAUACUGCUGGUCAGGUUUAUCAAGCUGUUGGAUCAAAGCGUUACCAGUUGAACGAAUUAAUUGAAACCAGUCAAUCGUGUUAUGCGCAAAAAUUAAAAAUGCGUUGUAUCCUACCUUCCUAUUGAAAGCCAAGUCGUUUGGAUGUACAAUUGACCUCCAUGGAAGAGCAAAUACCAUGGAAAUUGCGACCUUAUCGGGCUGCGCAAUAUUAUGAUGCCGAAUUGGGAUAGUGGAAGGAACCAGCUCCACCAAAAUCGAUAGAAGAACUACGUAUGUUUGCAUAAAACUACUAUAAUGGCAACAACGCUAACAACAACAACCAAGCAAAUAUUAAACAACACUCAUCAAAUGAAAGUUGGUGGCGUUGGUGGCCACACAGCGAUUUAAAAAGAAAUAUUUGCAUCUAUGCGAAUUCGUCUUUGCAUCUAGUGAAUUAUGAAUAUGAAAGUAUAUAACUUAUCGCAGUUAUUUGUUUUUAUUAUUGCAUUUAGUUUUACUUUGUGAACAGCAAAACUGGCGGACCCUUUUUCUACCGAUUUUAUAAUUAUAACCCCAAAUAAAAAGUAAAUUGUAACUAAAUGUUUUAUUUCAGUAGAUUUUAUUUAUUGUUUCUUUUUUUUUACAUAUUUUUGUGCCUAUGUUGCAUUUUCCACACCACCAUGAGGUAUGCAACUAGGCGCGUUACCGAUUUUUUUUGGGUGUUCGGUUCCCCCGGAGGCCUAUU